CUCCAUGGCAGCCUUAGUGUCUCCCUGUGAAGUCUCCAGAGUUGGUGGCAGCUUUGCAGGACCUAACUAUGGAAAUUAUAUAUCAGCUAAAAAUGCUGGAAAUUAGAUUGCAUUUUAUUCUGGGGAGGACAAUGGAAGGAGGACAACAACCAAAGGCUUGGUGGACAAGACAUGAGUACAUCAGCCUGAUAAUCUAAAAAGAAGCAGCCACUCUGAAAGUCUGACUCACCAGUCAUAAGGAGCUGAAGAGGACACUGGUCCAGCUCCAGUGGUAUCCCUGGGGAUAUGAAGAUGGUUCUCACUUCUGAGAGGCAAGGCAAAGCUCUAAAAACAUGAUACCACUCACUGAGGACCUCCAGACUCAAAUCAAGGUUUACCCUCCUGAGAUGCAGUAUAUAUAAGCAGAUGGAACCAAAACAAAAAUUAGUAUAAGAUAAGGGGGCCAGAGGUUGCAAACACAUAGAGCACUUACUUUUCAAGUACCAACUUAUCUAUAGAAAGUAGUCACCCAUGUUUUACAGACAAGGAAAGUAAAAUUCAAAGCUCAAAUUUCUUUAAGACUUGCCUCUGUAUAACAGCCAGAAAAAGACAGUCAGCUAGCUUCAGUUGCCCCAUCCCACUCAAGAUGAACUCAUGACCACUAAAAGGUUCUGUCCUACUUUGUUUUAGCUGUCAGCUUGACACAAACAAGAAGCAACUAGGAAGGGACAAGCUCAGUUAAGUAAUUGCCCAGAUCAGAUUGCCCUGUGGGUAUGUCUGUGGGGCAUCAUCUUGUUUCAUGAUUGAUGUGGGGUAGCCCAGCCCACUCUGGGCAACACCAUCCCUAGACAUUUGGGCCUGGACUACAUAAGAAGGCUAGUUGAGCAUAGGUCUUAGAACAUGAGACCACAUUGGUAAGCAGCAUUUUUCCAUGGUUUCUGCUUCAGUUCCUACCCUAACUUCCUUCUAUGAUAUACUGUGACCUAGAAGUAUAAUCUGAAAUACAUCCUUCCCUCCCCUAAGUUGCUUUUGGUCAUGGUGUUUGUCAUAACAGAAUGACAGCUAGAACAGGUUCCAAACAGAAACUUGACAAAUAAACCUCUGAUGUGUUCAUGUACAUAUAAAACCUGUCCUUCCCUCCAUACUGGGUAGGACACUAAGUGGGGUGGAAUCUUUCCUUUCUGCUUGUAUUCCUUCCACUAUUAAAACCACAAUAGACCUCACAAAAAGCUUUUCUUGAGCCAACCCUGUAUUAAAAUAACUGAGAACAUCUUUAACAGUAAAAGUUAAUGAAAAGUUUACCAAAAGAAAAUGAAAACAGAAACUUACAUAAAUACUGUAUACUAUGUAAAUAGCAGCAUGACUUCUAAUAGCCAAAUAGUGGAAACCACCCAAACUCUUAUCCAUCUAAGAGUGGAUAAGGAAAAAGCAUACACAGCCAGUACAACAGUGUGGUGGUUUGAAAGAAAAUGAUCCCCCAAAGGGAGUGGCUCUAUUAGAAGGUAUGGCCUUGUUGGAGGAAGUGUGUCAUUGUGGGGGUGGGCUUUGAGGUCUCCUAGUCUCAAGCUGUGCUAGUGUCACAGUUCUUUUCCUUUUGCCUGAGGAUCAAGAUGUAGAACUCUCAGCUCCCUCUCCAGCAGCAUGUCUGUGUGGAUACCACCAUGUCCCACCAUGAUGAUAAUGGACUAAACCUCUGAAAUGUGUAGAUGGAUCUUAUUUCCUGUUCUCACCUAAUUACUCUGCCCUGAAAUUCUGGUACUACAGUGAAUAAUGAGUGAGUAUUCUUGAUCUUGAAAGAAAAGUUUCAGUCUUUUACUACUGUUCAUGAUGCUAUAUGAAGUCAGUAGAUAUUUUCAGUUUGCUGAGAAACAAAGGCAUUUAUUUCAUAAAACUGCUUUUAGUCAUAACAACAGUCAAUAAGCAGCUUGUGUAUACCAGGCUCUAACUUGGUGUUUCUAUGUGCCGGGUUGUUGAAUUGCCAUGGUGACCUGUGUCAGUCAUAUGAGAAGCACAUAUGCAAGUAACCAUCAAAGAUGCAUUUAACUUAACCCAACAGCUUCAUUGCACUAAGUAUAUACUGUGCUUUUAUUGGCUGCACCGCACAAAUCCCAGAAAAGAUCCAUCAUUGGUGGUAUGUUUUUGUAAUACUAGUCUUGGGGAGGUGGAGAAAGACAGGAAGUACCCAGGGCUCAUUGGCCAGUUAGCCUAGCCUAAUUGAUGAGCUACAAGCAAAUAAGGGAUUGUGUUUUACAAAAGAAAUAAGAGGACAGAAGAAAGAAGGAAGGAAGGGGAAAGGUAGGGGUGAGAGGGAAGGAAGGAAGGGAGGGAGGAAGGAAGGAAGGAAAACAGGUGGAGAGGAAAAAAAGGAAGAAUAACCAAAGACUUGUGACUUCCAUGGGUGAAACAUGUAUGCAUAUUACACAUAGAGAGAGCAAAUACAGAUGAACAACUAGACUCAAAAAGACAAAUACCACAUUUUUUUCUAUAAGUAGAUACUAGCUUCUGAUAUAUGUAUAUUUAUGUGGGGACAAAUGUGGGUAUAGUUUAUGAAAAUAGAAUGGGGACCAUAAGUCAGAAAGAGAGGUUUUAAGGAACUGGUAUAGUGAAAUUAAUAAAACACAAAUAACAUAAAAGUGGAAAGGUUCAUACUAGGAGCAGUAGGGUACAAGUGGGACAGGAGGCUAGGACACAGAUGUUGAUCAGGAGGAUCAAACUAAACAAAAUAUGUUUGAAAAUGCCAUAGGAAAUCAAUUAUAUUGUAUACUAAUUAAAAAUAAAUUAUGGACUGAGAGAUACUUUAAUCCAUAAGGCUCUUGUCACAUAAGCAUGAAGACCCCAGAUUCACCCCAAGGACCCAUGUAAAACAGGUAGGUAGUGCACAAGAACUUGGAAUCCUAACACUGAGGAUGAGAAGACAGCUGGAUCUCCAGCACUCAACAGCCCACUAGUCUAGCCUAAUUGUCAAGUUCUAGAAUCAAUGAGAGACCCUAUCUCAAAAGGAGGAUGACAGAAGACGAUACCUGACAUCACUUUAUGGCUUACACACACACACACACACACACACACACACACACACACACACGAGACAGAAAGACAGACACAGACAGAGACAUAGAGAAACAGAGAGGCACACACAUACAUACACACAAAAUGAAAGUUAAUUAAAAUAACUAAAUGAACAAAUCCAAAGAGAUGAUGUACAAUCACGGGCUAGGUAGGGUAAGUUUGGCCCAAUGGUUGACAUGGAAUAAGAAUUCCAUAGAUAUAGAUACAUUCAACUGUUAUUCAGUGAUUUUCAGGAGCCCACAGCUUGUGCUUCAGGGAAUGGAGAUUCCCUCUGUUGCCUAUUUUGAAGUCUCUGUUUUCCUGUCAGAACUCUACACCCAGAUCCACUUCAGCAACUCAUUUGGGAGGCAGUACUUUCAAUGCCAAAACAGUAGGAUUAGGUUCACCCAUGUCCCUUGGAAGUUUCCAGCAAAUCCACACUGGUUUUGCUUGGCACUGCAUGUCCUAAUCUCUUGUCCCUGAGAGUGCAGUGACAAAGAUACAUCACAUUUUCCUAUACAAUGGACUUGAAUUAUCCCAGGGAUAAUGAAAAGGUAUUUUUCAUCUUUAAGUGUUAAUGAAUAUAAAUGGGAUUCACAGCCCAUAUCUCUGCUUCAUUCCCUUUCAGAGAUGAGAUAACAGAAAACUUCCAGUGGCAAGAAAGAGAAGAGGGGCCCCUCAUUCAGUCCUCCCAAUCAGGGCACCUCUAGGAUAGGAAGGACUUCAGAAAGUCCAGUGUCUUACUUUUCUGUCCAACUACUCAAAACUUCUGUAAGUAUCAAUUAAUUGAUUCAUCUCAUGUCAAAAGAUAGUUAGAUUCAAGAAAUUGAAAGCCUCUAACUUUCUUCAGAGAGUCAAGAUUCACAGGAGUCAGUAUUUAAACUACUUUUCCAAGAGGAACACCCUUCUCAAUUCUUGUGCUUAUUUUCCUCACAUUAGUUGGAAACAAUCCUUUUGCUCUAUUCAUACUUUGUUCCACACUACAUUAAUCAAAAAGCCAAGAAAGUUAUUUCCCUCUGUUAUGUUAGUAAGUGUGCCUACAGUGUGGGUGGUGGCUACAAAGGGUCAAUGGUAACAAAGAAAAUUCAGUAUAUGUAUACACCAUAAAAUACCAUGCAAUCUCAAAACAGGAAUAAAACCCUGUGGUUUACGAAAAAUAUGAUUGAACCCUGAGGACAUCAUACACAGUGAAAUGAUAAAUACUGCAUGAUACAGAAAGAUAAAUUCUGCUUGACCUCAUUGCUAUUUAGUGUCUAAAAUGUCAAAUUCACAAAAACAGAGAGUAGAAUAGUGGUGAUAAAACCUGAGGGUGGGGAAGUUGGGGUGGGUGGAGACUAAAGGAUUAAAGGUUCUACUUCAAACGUAAUUUGAAAGAUAUCUUUAAUAAUGUGGUGACUACUGUUAAUUAUUCUUGUUUGCCUGUCUGUGGCUUUGAGAAAACAAAACAAAACAAAACACUGGCCAAAAUCAACUUGGGUAGGAAAGGGUUUAUUUAGCUUUUAAGUUUCAUAUGGACUUGACCUCCUUCCUUUCUUCUUUCCUUCCUUCCUUCCUUCCUUCCUUCCUUCCUUCCUACCUUCCUACCUUCCUCCCUUCCUUCCUUCCUUCCUUCUUUCCUUUUUUUUCUUCCUUUCUUUCCUUUUAUUUGGUCUGAGACAAGGUUUCUCUGUGUAGCUAUGUAGCCCUGCCUGUCCUGGGACUUGCUCUGUAGACCAGAUUGUUCUGGAACUCAGAGAUCCACCUGCCUCCACCUCCAGAGUUCUGUGACUUAAGGUAUGUGUUAGUAUGACCUAGCUGUUACAAUAAAUCUUUUUGUCAAAAGCCGCCUGAGCCCCACUGCCUCGAGCGAGCUUUACGCCAGCCGCCCACCCGAGUUAGGCCCAAAUGAAUACACAGAGAGACUUGUAUUAGUUACAAAGCUGCUUGGCCAAUGACUAGGAUUCUCAUUUGUUAGCUCAGUCUCAAUUAUCAUACAUCUAUAUAUUUUAUGGGACUUAUCUUAUCGGACGCCUUAUUGGCAUCCCUCCUUGCUGGUGAAUCACAUCGUGCCGCUGGAGCAGGAGCCGAGGGGAAAGAGAGAGC
ensembl:lncRNA